CGUAAUGCUGGAGGAAAUAAAGACCACUCACUCCUUUUGUAAAACAGUGUUUCAAAGAUAAAGAUGGACGUCACCACCGAGCCGUGAUGACUCGAAUACUUAACAUACUGAAUGGAUGGGAUCAUAGGAGGAGGAAAGAGGCUGUGAGAAGGGAAGAAAGUCAUGAAUGUGUUUUAAAAACUAUGCUCAUCUCUUCCUCCCACUAAUCUGGAUUAAAAUUAAAUAAACUCAUACCUUCUUCAUUCA